rnacentral:rRNA from 1 species
AUGUUCAUCUGGGUCGAUUUCCACUUCAUCAUCGUCAAGGUCGACCGGUACCUUGCCGGCUGGCGUGCCCGCCUCCUCUCCCCGACGGGGCGGCUGGUCCUCAUCAACGCCGUGCUGGACGCCAUCCCAAUCUAUGCCAUGGGUGCGCUCAAGCUGCCUCCCAAGGUAGUGCGAGCGCUGGACUCCCUCCGUCGCUCAUUCCUCUGGAACGCGGCCGAGCGAGCUUCCGGUGCGGAGUGUCUCGUCGCCUGGGAGCUGGUGUGCCGCGGCAAGGAGGAGGAGGCCUGGGGGUCUGUGACCUCGCCACGCAAAAUGACGCCCUUCUUCUGA